GAUCACCUACGGGGCGCAGCAGUGGGGAAUAUUGGGCAAUGGGCGCAAGCCUGACCCAGCAACGCCGCGUGAAGGAAGAAGGCCCUCGGGUUGUAAAUUCCUUUUAACAGGGACGAAGAAAGUGACGGUACCUGUUGAAUAAGCCACGGCUAACUACGUGCCAGCAGCCGCGGUAAUACGUAGGUGGCAAGCGUUAUCCGGAUUUACUGGGUGUAAAGGGCGUGUAGGCGGGAGAG
rnacentral:rRNA from 1 species